CAUCUUCCAUUUCUCUGCCCAUCUCUGCAACUGAAGGAAAGGACAGUUCCUUUGAGAUGUUGAUGCCCAGAACCUUGAAGUUGCUCACCCUUUCAACUGCUAGCCCAUCAAUGAAGACUGCUAACUGCAACCAGAUAUGGUGACAUAAAACCCUCAGCAUAGUGAAAAAUUCAAAGUUCAAAGCAAAUUUAUUACCAAAAUACAUACAAAGAAGUAAAAUAGAAUCAAUGAAAAACUACAAAACAAUCACUGCGCAAAAGAAGACAAACAGUGCAAAUACUAUACAAAACAGCAAUGAAUAAAUGAACAGAAUUCCCGCAGAUGUAUUUGCUGUGAAUGUUGCUACCCACUGUGAACAUGAGAUGAGUACAGAGCCAAAGGGAUUGAUGCUGCAACCUCAACAUUUGACAGUUUAUAGAAGUGACUCAGAUGAAGGCAUCAAAACUACAGCUACAAGUUUGCCGAGAACUCAGGCAGGAAGGAGCACCAUCAAGACUGUCCUAUCUGGCUGCAUCAAUGUGUGGUACAGAAGAUGCAAGUCGUUGGAUCACAAGACCCACUAAAGGACAAUAAGAACUGUCAAGAGGAUCAUCAGGGUCUCCCUUUCCCCUACUUGUGACAUUUACCAGGAACUUCGCAAACAAAGGGCCCAAAAGCAUUGUUGAGGACUCCUACCACCAAUCCUUUAGAGACUUUACACAAUCUCUUUGACCCACUACCAUCAGGAAGGAGGUACAGGUGACCCCACUUUACGUAGAUGUAGGAUUCAAUGUAAGUUGAAGAUUCGGAAUAAUGGUUUCACCUCCCUCCUUGAGAAGCAAAACUCAAGGUCCCAACCUAGAUCUGACACACAAAACUUCAGUGAGGAUUCUCUGCCUACGGAUCAGGAAACAAAGAAUAAAGUCAGAUGAGCUGUAGAGAGCAUCUUGACAAGCCACAUCACUGCAUGGGACGGAAGCUGCACUGUGGCAACUGCAAGGCUUUACUACAGGUAGUCAAAACUGCCCAGCACAUCACCCAGCACCAGCCUACCCACCAUCAAGGACAUAUCAAAGACCUCCUGUGCCAAGCGUCACUUAAUGGACAUACAUUCAGUC